ensembl:ncRNA Y57E12B.5 ncRNA
AUUACAAGUUGGACGGAUUAGUGAGCUUCUCUACAGUUAAAAUUAAACGUUUUUACCAAAUUGAUAGAUGCUUUGAAAGUGGCUGAAAUAGUUGAAUACUACAGUCACACGUUUCAAAAAUGUUUGAAAGUUUUGAU